rnacentral:ncRNA from 1 species
AAAAGGUCUGGUCCCGGCCUUUCUAUUAGCUAACAAUAAAUUUACACAUGCCAGUAUCAGCAUACCAGUGAGGAUGCCCUUAAACCCUUAAAUACAAUAAGAGUUGAGGAGCGGGUAUAAAGCACACUACUAAGUAGCUAAAAACACCUAGAUAAACCACGCCCCCACGGGUUACAGCAGUGAUAAACUUUAAGCAAUGAACGAAAGUUUGACUUAGUUAUAUUGUUCUAGGGUUGGUAAAUUUCGUGCCAGCCACCGCGGUCAUACGAUUAACCCGAGCUAAUAGACUUAACGGUAUAAAGAGUGUAAAAGAAAAAAACCUAAUAAAUAAUGAAGAUAAGAUAAAUUUAAAGUGUAUAAACUCCUAAAUUUACAAAAACUUAACAACGAAAGUGUCUUCAAUUACCCUGCUUACACGAUAGCUAGAAUCCAAACUGGGAUUAGAUACCCCAUUAUGUCUAGCCGUAAACACUAGUAGUCAUAAAUAAGGCUAUUCACCAGAGAACUACGAGCCACAGCUUAAAACUCAAAGGACUUGGCGGUGCUUCAUACCCCCCUAGAGGAGCCUGUUCUAUAAUCGAUAAACCACGAUACACCUAACCAACUCUUGCUAAUCCAGUCUAUAUACCGCCAUCUUCAGCAAACCCUGAUUAAGGAAUAAAAGUAAGCACAAUCAUUUUAUCCAUAAAAACGUUAGGUCAAGGUGUAACCUAUGAGUUGGGAAGCAAUGGGCUACAUUCUUUAUUAUAAAGUAUAACGAAAGUUUCUAUGAAACUAGAAACCAAAGGAGGAUUUAGUAGUAAGCUAAGAUUAGAAAGCUUAACUGAAAACGGCCAUGAAGCACGUACACACCGCCCGUCACCCUCCUCAAAUACUAAUAAGUUAAAAUAUGUAAAAUUACUAAAAAAGUACUAGAGGAGAUAAGUCGUAACAAGGUAAGUAUACUGGAAAGUGUACUUGGAUGACU